rnacentral:rRNA from 1 species
UAGGUGAACCUGCGGAAGGAUCAUUACCAUACUAC